rnacentral:rRNA from 1 species
AGUGAACGCUGGCGGUAGGCCUAACACAUGCAAGUCGAACGGCAGCACAGUAAGAGCUUGCUCUUACGGGUGGCGAGUGGCGGACGGGUGAGGAAUACAUCGGAAUCUACUUUUUCGUGGGGGAUAACGUAGGGAAACUUACGCUAAUACCGCAUACGACCUACGGGUGAAAGCAGGGGAUCUUCGGACCUUGCGCGAUUGAAUGAGCCGAUGUCGGAUUAGCUAGUUGGCGGGGUAAAGGCCCACCAAGGCGACGAUCCGUAGCUGGUCUGAGAGGAUGAUCAGCCACACUGGAACUGGGACACGGUCCAGACUCCUACGGGAGGCAGCAGUGGGGAAUAUUGGACAAUGGGCGCAAGCCUGAUCCGGCCAUACCGCGUGGGUGAAGAAGGCCUUCGGGUUGUAAAGCCCUUUUGUUGGGAAAGAAAAGCAGCAGGUUAAUACCCCGCUGUUCUGACGGUACCCAAAGAAUAAGCACCGGCUAACCUCGUG